rnacentral:rRNA from 1 species
CAGGCCGCGGUAAUACGUAGGUGGCAAGCGUUGUCCGGAAUUAUUGGGCGUAAAGCGCGCGCAGGCGGCUUCUUAAGUCCAUCUUAAAAGUGCGGGGCUUAACCCCGUGAUGGGAUGGAAACUGAGAGGCUGGAGUAUCGGAGAGGAAAGUGGAAUUCCUAGUGUAGCGGUGAAAUGCGUAGAGAUUAGGAAGAACACCGGUGGCGAAGGCGACUUUCUGGACGACAACUGACGCUGAGGCGCGAAAGCGUGGGGAGCAA